UACGUAGGGUGCAAGCGUUGUCCGGAAUUAUUGGGCGUAAAGAGCUCGUAGGCGGUUUGUCGCGUCUGCUGUGAAAUCCCAGGGCUUAACCCUGGGCCUGCAGUGGGUACGGGCAAACUAGAGUGCGGUAGGGGAGAUUGGAAUUCCUGGUGUAGCGGUGGAAUGCGCAGAUAUCAGGAGGAACACCGAUGGCGAAGGCAGAUCUCUGGGCCGUAACUGACGCUGAGGAGCGAAAGCGUGGGGAGCGAACAGG
rnacentral:rRNA from 1 species